rnacentral:rRNA from 1 species
UACGGAAGGGGCGAGCGUUGUUCGGAAUCAUUGGGCGUAAAGGGCGCGUAGGUGGUUCUGUAUGUCUACCGUGAAAGCGUACGGCUCAACCGUAUUUUGUCGGUAGAAACUGCAGGACUUGAGGCUGGGAGGGGCUGGUGGAAUUCCCUGUGUAGCGGUGAAAUGCGUAGAGAUGGGGGAGAACACUCGUGGCGAAGGCGGCCAGCUAGACCAGUUCUGACACUGAGGUGCGACAGCGUGGGGAGCAAACAGG